rnacentral:tRNA from 1 species
CGGAGAGGUGGCAGAGUGGUUGAAUGCACCGCACUCGAAAUCCGGCAGACAGGCAACCGUAUCGAGAGUUCGAAUCUCCCCGUCCGCC